rnacentral:rRNA from 1 species
UACGUAGGGUGCGAGCGUUGUCCGGAAUUAUUGGGCGUAAAGAGCUUGUAGGCGGUUUGUCGCGUCUGCUGUGAAAACCUAAGGCUCAACCUUGGGCUUGCAGUGGGUACGGGCAGACUAGAGUGCGGGUAGGGGUGACUGGAAUUCCUGGUGUAGCGGUGAAAUGCGCAGAUAUCAGGAGGAACACCGGGUGGGCGGAAG